rnacentral:rRNA from 1 species
CAGUCGCCGCGGGAAAACGGAGGGUGCAAGCGUUAAUCGGAAUUACUGGGCGUAAAGCGCGCGUAGGUGGUUUGUUAAGUUGGAUGUGAAAUCCCCGGGCUCAACCUGGGAACUGCAUCCAAAACUGGCAGGCUAGAGUAGGGCAGAGGGUGGUGGAAUUUCCUGUGUAGCGGUGAAAUGCGUAGAUAUAGGAAGGAACACCAGUGGCGAAGGCGACCACCUGGGCUCAUACUGACACUGAGGUGCGAAAGCGUGGGGAGCAAACAGGAUUAGAUACCCGCGUAGUCCCUGUCUCUUAUAC